rnacentral:rRNA from 1 species
UACGGGGGAGCAAGCGUUGUUCGGAUUUACUGGGCGUAAAGGGCGCGUAGGCGGUCAGCACAAGUCAGUUGUGAAAUCUACCGGGACCGUUAACUCGGAAAGGUCAACUGAUACUGGUAGCGACUGAGAGUGCGGAAGGGGCAACUGGAAUUCGAUGGUGUGGACAAGUGAAUGCGUAGGAAGAUCAUGAGGAAGACCAGUGGACGAAGGCGGGUCGUCUGGACAGUUCCUGACACUGAGACACGAAGGCCAGGGGAGC